rnacentral:lncRNA from 1 species
UGUUUAUAAAUCGUGGGUAGAGCAACAAGAUUACAGGAAUGCAUAGGUGUUCUGUGUACCAGUUGGUACCUGGAAACUCUUGRAUUCUGUCCACCAAUCUUAUGUUGAAUCCUCUGUUCUUCCAGGUGUCAAAGUUGACACUUGGUAGCCCCUGCUUCCUAGACAGAUAGAAGAGGUGACAGUAGGCAGAACAAAACACUCUGAGGCCUCUCAUGUCUGCACUAGGGAUUUCCUUCUCUAUCUCCUUCCAUGCAAAGCACUCUUAGAAAUGAAGUAAACUAUAGUCAGAUAUCAUUUGAGUAGCUGAAACUUCCCAUCUGGGAAACUUAGGAAAACUGAACUUGCAUAAAUCAUGCUGUAUGUCUGUUUAGCUCAUAAAGUGUUUGUGUAGGAUUUUUGUGGCUUUGAAAUGACUAAGAUAACUGGUAGAGAGGUCCCUGAUUAGUUUCAGAACUUGGCCAACUUGUGGAGGUGUAGAUGGGUGAAGCAUGGAUGACAGAAAAGGUUGUAGUAGACUUCUAGUAGAAGAUAGAGUAGGUCUGUGUUGGACUCUUCUAAUAGGCUUGUGCAGCCAUCUAAGAAUCACAGCCAAAAUGUAGUGUCCUGUAGCUGCUGCUCUCUGAGCAAAGUCCAGAGGUGAUGGAGAGUUGGAGCUGGUAUAUUGAUUUCCAUUUGCCAUAUUUGGAAAACCUGGUACAAUGUCAAUGGACUGGAAUGUCUGCCCUCUGCUCUAAGUUUCUUGGUUACCCUUUGUCACUUAAGCUUCUUGAAUUACAAAUAUUCUGUGAGUGUUUACUGAUGAUUUUCAGGUGCCCUGUACUAUUAGUGUGUUAUCUGCCUCUGUAUGUGAAUGGUCAUUUUCUUCUGCACUGUCCAGAUCUUACAUUCUCCCUCUCUCUUUAUUCCAUCCUCUACCAGAGUUUCACAGUCACCUCUGUGCCUUUUCCCAUAUGGCCUCCUCUGCAUGAUACUGUCUCCCUGGGCUUGUUCUCACACAUUAAAACCUCUCUUAAAAAUAUGUUCUUCUGUGCUGCAUAUAGUAAAGCCAAAUUGCUUAAGUAUCAAUUGCCUAUUGUUGUUCCAUCUCCUCAACUUUUAUAGUGAUCUGCUUUUAAGUGAGGAGCAGCCUGGAAAAAGGACCACAACUCACAGGGUGUUUACAAAACUCACAGGGUAUUACAGAAGUAACUUUCCUCUCACAGGUACUGCUAUAAUUGAGUGGUCAAUAACUAAUGAUGAUGGAGGAAAGAAUUAUCUGUGGAAUGCCUGGUCCCUCAAGUGCAUAGUGAGGGCCAAACUAGUUGCGGUUCAUCUCUGCACGUUGGAGGCAUGUGGAUUAGGAUCUUAAUGCUGUGGUUUGGAGAGAAAUGAGUGAUGAAAAGGAUUCAUAGAUUUGCAAACCAGUGAGACAGGUGCCAGGACUCC